rnacentral:rRNA from 1 species
AGAGUUUGAUCAUGGCUCAGAAUCAACGCUGGCGGCGUGCCUAACACAUGCAAGUCGAACGCGAAAGUCCCGCAAGGGAUAAGUAGAGUGGCAAACGGGUGAGUAACGCGUGGGCGACCUACCUUCGAGUGGGGGAUAACCUUCCGAAAGGAGGGCUAAUACCGCAUGACAUCCCGUGUUUGGAUACACGGACAUCAAAGCCGGGGAUCGUAAGACCUGGCGCUUGAAGAGGGGCCCGCGUCCGAUUAGCUAGUUGGUGGGGUAACGGCUCACCAAGGCUCCGAUCGGUAUCCGGCCUGAGAGGGCGGACGGACACACUGGAACUGAGACACGGUCCAGACUCCUACGGGAGGCAGCAGUGGGGAAUUGUUCGCAAUGGGCGCAAGCCUGACGACGCAACGCCGCGUGGAGGAUGAAGACCUUCGGGUCGUAAACUCCUUUCGACCGAGAUGAAUUCCUGCCGGCCUAACACGCCGGCGGGGUGACAGUAUCGAGGGAAGCAGCCCCGGCUAACUCCGUGCCAGCCGCCGCGGUAAUAC